rnacentral:rRNA from 1 species
ACAGCAGCAGCCGCGGGAAAACGGAGGGUGCAAGCGUUAAUCGGAAUUACUGGGCGUAAAGCGCACGCAGGCGGUCUGACAAGUCAGAUGUGAAAUCCCCGGGCUUAACCUGGGAACUGCAUUUGAAACUGUCAGGCUGGAGUCUUGUAGAGGGGGGUAGAAUUCCAGGUGUAGCGGUGAAAUGCGUAGAGAUCUGGAGGAAUACCGGUGGCGAAGGCGGCCCCCUGGACAAAGACUGACGCUCAGGUGCGAAAGCGUGGGGAGCAAACAGGAUUAGAUACCCGCGUAGUCCCUGUCUCUUAUAU